rnacentral:rRNA from 1 species
UAACACCAGCGCCACAAGUGGGAACCACAAUUAUUGGGUCUAAAGCAUCCGUAGCCGGUUUGAUAAAUCCUUUGUGAAAUUGUUAGACUUAAUCUAACGACGUGCAGAGGAGACUGCCAAACUUGGAACUGGGAGGAGUCAGAGGUAUUUUUGGGGGAGCGGUAAAAUGCUAUAAUCCCAAAAGGACCACCAGUGGCGAAGGCGUCUGACUAGAACAGUUUCGACGGUGAGGGAUGAAAGCCAGGGGAGCAAAACGGAUUAGAUACGAGAAAUUUUCGAAGAAAAUUUCUGGAAUUAGCUUCGUAAAUUUUGCUUAACAAAAUUACUUUAUGAAGAAGUGUUUCAGAAAAUUAAUGAAAAUUUACUCGCUAAUUACCCGAGUAGUCCUGGCUGUAAACGCUGCGAGCUAGAUGUUGCAUCUUCCUCGUGAAUAUGCAGCAUCGAAAUGAAGAUGUAAGCUCGCCACCUGGGAAGUACAGUCGCAAGACCG